rnacentral:rRNA from 1 species
AACGAACGCUGGCGGCAGGCCUAACACAUGCAAGUCGAACGCUGUAGCAAUACAGAGUGGCAGACGGGUGAGUAACGCGUGGGAAUCUUCCUAUCGGUACGGAAUAGCUCAGGGAAACUUGGGGUAAUACCGCAUACGCCCUUCGGGGGAAAGAUUUAUCGCCGAUAGAUGAGCCCGCGUCUGAUUAGCUAGUUGGUGAGGUAACGGCUCACCAAGGCGACGAUCAGUAGCUGGUCUGAGAGGAUGACCAGCCACACUGGGACUGAGACACGGCCCAGACUCCUACGGGAGGCAGCAGUGGGGAAUAUUGGACAAUGGGGGCAACCCUGAUCCAGCCAUGCCGCGUGAGUGACGGAGGUCUUCGGAUUGUAAAGCUCUUUUGGCGGGGACGAUAAUGACGGUACCCGCAGAAUAAGCCCCGGCUAACUUCAUGCCAGCAGCCGCCGUAA